rnacentral:lncRNA from 1 species
UUGGGUACAAUAUUUGUCCCAAAGGGUGUUCUUGUAUCGUCUCUAUUUUUGGUGUUUCUCAAGUUGGUCACUUGAGAUUUUGGUGUACCAUUAUUUUUUAUAGUGGAUAUUUCUCGGAGUUGGCCCGUGGUUUUUCCCUCUAAAUUUGGGAGGGUUUUUCACGUAAAUUUUGGUGUUCCAAUUGCUUGUGUUAUUUUUCAUAUUGU